UACGAAGGGGGCUAGCGUUGCUCGGAAUCACUGGGCGUAAAGGGUGCGUAGGCGGGUCUUUAAGUCAGGGGUGAAAUCCUGGAGCUCAACUCCAGAACUGCCUUUGAUACUGAGGAUCUUGAGUACGGGAGAGGUGAGUGGAACUGCGAGUGUAGAGGUGAAAUUCGUAGAUAUUCGCAAGAACACCAGUGGCGAAGGCGGCUCACUGGCCCGAUACUGACGCUGAGGCACGAAAGCGAUGGGGAGCCAAACAGGGGAAUUCAAGAAAC
rnacentral:rRNA from 1 species